AUCUGUUCUCUUUUCUGCUUUGUUUUUGCAGUGGAGUGCUUUGAGAACAAACAACAGUACUUUGCUAACAGACUGAGCGAAGCCAUGAAGGGUAAAAGUGCCAAGGAGAAGGUGGUGACCAGGAUCGUCGUGUCUCGCUGUGAGGUGGACCUCAUGAAGAUCAGGACAGAGUUUAAGAAACUGAACCAGAAGUCCCUGUACCAGACCAUCGCUGAGCACACUAAAGGAGACUAUCAGAAGGUCCUGCUGAGUCUGUGUGGAGGAGACGACUAAAGUCCAACUGGCACCAACUGUCACCUUUACCCAGAAGCCAAUGCCUUGUUCCUAUUUUGAUUCAGUCUAGUGACACAGACAUUGAGAACUGGUGCCUCUAUUCACAACACCCAGCAGCACUAGAGUCAUCAUUACUCAGAUUGCAUCACCUCUCUGUGGAGUAUGAGAUAUCCAACGGAAUUAUUGAUAGUAAAUGGUUUUUAUGCAAUGUUUUUUUUGAAAUUAAAUAAUUUUUUGUUAAA